UGGUGGAGUGAUUUGUCUGCUUAAUUGCGAUAACGAACGAGACCUUAACCUAUUAAAUAGUGUCGCUAGCAUUUGCUGGAGUGACACUUCUUAGAGGGACUAUCGAUUUCAAGUCGAUGGAAGUUUGAGGCAAUAACA
rnacentral:rRNA from 1 species